AUUGAACGCUGGCGGCAGGCCUAACACAUGCAAGUCGAACGAGUGGCGGACGGGUGCGUAAUGUCUGGGAAACUGCCUGAUGGAGGGGGAUAACUACUGGAAACGGUAGCUAAUACCGCAUACCAUCAGAUGUGCCCAGAUGGGAUUAGCGAUUUGGUGGGGUAACGGAUCACCAAGGCCAAGAUCCCCAGCGGGUCUGAGAGGAUGAACAGCCACACUGGAACUGAGACACGGCCCAGACUCCUACGGGAGGCAGCAGUGGGGAAUAUUGCACAAUGGGCGAAAGCCUGAUGCAGCCAUGCCGCGUGUAUGAAGAAGGCCUUCGGGUUGUAAAGUACUUUCAGCGGGGAGGCGUUACCCGCAGAAGAAGCACCGGCUAACUCCGUGCCAGCAGCCGCGGUAAUAC
rnacentral:rRNA from 1 species